rnacentral:lncRNA from 1 species
CUGACUUCAGAGCACUACUCUGUGGAUGGAAACAUGCUGUCUAUACUACUACCAUUCAGUGGUCAUCAGACACAGCUACACUGAGGGGGAGUGCUUGCAGACCCAUAAUGGAAGAAAAGGAGGAACAUACAGUGACAGAGGAACAGGAGGAAGAGGCAGAGGAGGAGGAGGAGGAAGAGGAGGAAGAAGAAUCUUAGUACUUUU